UGAUACUUGUCUUUUCAUUACACUUUCCUUCAUCCUUAAGCAUCAUUCACGACUCCAACCCUUGAGGCUACUUAUAAAUCUCUUGGAUAAGACAUUUAAACCUCCAAAUAUAUCCCCAAGUGAAAGGGAGAGCAAAGGAAGCCAAGAGAGAUAGAAAAUUAAGAAGCUGGGAUUGCAGUUUGUAAAGGUGAUUUUCCAACUUCGAGUGAAAAAGGAUAUUGAUCUAAUUUCCAUAGAAGAUUGCACACACAAAGGUGAAAGAUCCAUGAUCGUUAGGAAUGAUGGAAGUUAGUGGCUUAUGCGAUGAUGGAUUAAGGACAAAGAUGUUUUGCAUCGAAAGUUUUCUUUUGUAUGUUUUGUUCAAUGACUGUUUCCCAUCUGUUUUCCUAUGGUAUUAUUUAAAAAUAUGUACAUGACAUGAUGUAUUAUGGUAUUAAUAGUAAAUUUUGUAA